UUCUCUAGUUCUUUUCUUCUUAAUGUUCUGGAUUGUAUCGUUUGCAUCAACUUUUUUCUAUCUGCAUGGUUCCUUUUUUCAUUCUUUGUUCUUGCAUUGUGUUUUACUUUAAUACCAUUAUUCUGUUUGAUAUUUUGAAUAUUUUGUGGCUGUGUGUUGGGAUAUUCAGUAUGAAGAUCUUUAGUUGGAAUGUAUGUGGUAUACACUCAUCUCUGAUAAAAAAAUAUCUUGCUAACCACAUUAAGAAUUUAAAACCUGAUGUUGUUUUUGUCUGUGAAACUAAGAUUUAGAAUCACAUCUCUUUUUUCCCCUUCUGCUCCCUUAAAAAUUAUAACUCGGACCAAUUUCAUCAAUAGUGAGGGGUUUGCUAGUAGGAAAGGGGGAUUGUGGGUUCUCCUUUCAAACUCACUUGGACCCUAUAGAGUGACCUUUGGAUCCUUCUUAUUUUUCAUUUUGUUUGACCCCUGCAAUGAUUUUCCCACCCAUUGGGGGUUGAUCUGCAACUCACAGGUAGGGGUGGAAUGAACUCUUUUCCAUGAUUUUUCCCCUCCAUAUUCCCUGUCCUUAUUGGUUAUUUCAAUGAGACCCUAUCCCUUGAUCACAAAUUUGGUGGAACCUCUUUUAAGCAUUCUACCUCCUCUCUUCUUCUACAAGUCCCUCUUUCUACCCUUAAUUUUGAAGAGAUCCUCCUUUCUAGGAACCCCUUCACCUAGACAAAUAAGCAAUUGCCACCUUCCUUGAUCAAAGUCUAUUUGGAUCGCACCUAUGUGAAUCCUGGGUUGUUGUCUUUAUUUUCUCAUUCUUCUCUCACUAAACUACCCUCAGUAGGAUCAGACCAUAAUCCAAUUAUCCUGAAUACCUCUCCCUCUUCCUUUAAAUUAAAAAAAUAGUUUCAUUACUAACAUGCUUGGUUUGUCCACCAGGAUUUUCUCCCUUUUUGGCAUCACAAGUGGAAUGCUUUUGGAAUUGCUUCCCUAAAUUCUAAAUUAGCUAGCCUUAACAAAUUGCUUCUCAAAUGGAAUACUAAGGUGUUAGGUAGAAUCAACCACCUUAAAGAUAAUUACCUCUCCCAAUACCUCCUCUUGGAAAACCUCUCGCAAUCCCCUUUGAAUGACCUUUCCAAAAUUUGCUCCAAUGCUGAAUGGAUCCUAACAGUUGAAGAAAGGUUUUGGCACCAGAAAUCAAGACACUCAUUUAUCUUCGAUGGGGAUAGAAACACCAAGUUUUUUUAUGUUGUGACCAAAGUCCAACAACACCAAAGAAGAAUUAUUUUCAUCUCUAUUGUUGGUGGUUCAAGAGUUACUGAACCUGCUCUAAUUGCUAAUGAGUUUAUUGGUUUUUUAGAGGAUCUCUUUACAACAUCCAACCCCCUUGAUCCUUCUUUCAUUGAAUGUCUCUUUACCCCUAUCCUUCUGCCUAAUCCCAUUUCUCUCACCUCUCCUCCCUCCAUUGAUGAGAUUAAAUUUGCUAUCUUUUCCAUUGGAGCCUAUAAAGCCCCUUGUCCCAAUGGUUUUCAAGCCAUCUUUUUUUAAAAUUAUGGGAUCUUCUCCAUCCAGAGAUUCAAGCUUUCGUUCACCAGUUCUUCAACAAUGGAAUUCUCCCACCCGAAUCCAAUCACACUCUCAUUUGCUUGAUCUGUAAAAAAUUUAAUGCCUUUGUUGUUAGUGACUUUUGGCCUAUUAGUCUCUGCAAUGUCACUUACAAAAAUUACUUAAAUCCUCGCUUCCAGGUUCAAAACCCGUUCGAGGGAUUUCAUUUCUCCCUGCCAAACUGCGUUUGUUCCUGGGUGUCAAAUAUCAGAUAACAUUGUUUUUGCCCAUGAAAUUUUUCAUUUUUUGAAAGGUGAAGAAAGUCAAAUCUGGUUUUGUGGCCAUCAAACUUGAUAUGAAAAGGCAUAUGAUAAGCUAUAAUGGAAUUAUCUUUUGGCUAUUUUUAAUUUUCUUGGGUUUGGUCCGAAGUGAGAGCAACUGGUUAGAUGUCUGAUUUCGACUUCGUCUUUCUCGAUCAAAUUCUUUGGUUCUGCCUUCAACUUUUUUAGAGCAUCAAGAGGAAUUCGUCCAGGCUGCCCUCUUAGUCCUUUUCUCUUUAUUGUGGCAUUGGAUGGGCUAUCUAGAUUGCUUGACACUUAUAAAGAGCUUAAUCUUUUCAAUGGUAUCAAAGUUUCAAGGUAUGCUCCUGAGAUUUCUCACCUCUUCUUUGCCGAUGAAACAUUUAUUUUCUAUAGAGCUACAAGUGAUGAUCUUGCCACUGUUAAAUGUAUCUUGAUCUCUUUUCUGAUCUUUCAGGACUGGCCACUAAUGUCAACAAAAGUGAUUUUGCUUUCAGCUCUAAUAUUCCUCUUGAAACUAGGAAUUCUUUGUGUCGAGUCAUCGGUAUUAAGGAAAUGGAUUAGGAUUCCUCCCAUAUUGGUACUAACUUGUUUUCUCCCAGAGCUAGAUCUCUAUUCUUUAGGAAUGUGAUUUGAAGAGUGGAGCUCAAACUUGGGACAUGGAAGGCAAAACUUUUGUCUUAUGCUAGAAGAACUAUGCUGAUCCAAUCAACUAUCUCAUCGAUUCCUUCUUACUUUAUGACUUGUUUUACUUUCCCUAAAGGUUGUGCAGGAAGCUGGAUGCUAUUUCCAUGCAUUUCUGGAAUAAUGAUUAUGCUUCUCAUAAAAGACUGCGUACCAUUGGGUGGAAGAGGAUUUGUCAACCAAAAAGAUUUGGUGGCCUAGAGUUACGUGACAGAAACUCAUAACAAAGCCCUUCUUUUAAGGCUUGGAUGGAGACUGCUAAAUUAUAAAGAGUUACUAUGGGCAAGAACUCUUAAAGCCAAAUAUUUGAUGCGAAGGUCAGUCUUUGAUAAGAGAACUCUCAAAUCAAGAGGAUCUCUUUGCUGGAAUGCUAUUGUGUACAUGCUUAUCAACUUGCUCUUAAUGGUGGUGGUUUUUUUUUU